UUAAAUUAUCGUUUUCCAAAAUCUGGUUUCAAAAUUCAUAAUUUCUUCUAUUCUCUUUGGAAUUUUUCUUCUCUUCCUGAAUUUCAGUGAUUAGUAUGAGACAAAGGAACAUGGUUUAUUUGAAAAUGGCCGAAGUGUUCCUCGGGGUAGCCGUUUUUAGCUUGCACGCAGCCUCGAUUUGGUGGGGCCACCACAAGCGAAACGCGAGGGGAAGUCACGUUGCAAUAGCAACAGGGAUUUGCAGUCCGAUGGUCCCGACGCUCUUCAGAGCCGAGCCAGCUCUUUACGGUUUCAACGAUUUGCCGAAAACGAUAAUCAUAGGAUUGGCUAUAUUUGUGAUACACUACCACUCUUACUUGCCUGCAGACUGGGCAACUAACUUUUUCAUAACACUGGGCUUUUGCGGCCCUCUGUUGCCCCAGAUAUACAGGAUGGAGGGUUUGAAAUCCGACGAAAUACCUAUGGAUAAACUAUCGGACAUGUUGUUCUCUUCUUUUGCUGCAUGGGUUUACAUGGUCGGAGGAGCUUUUCAAUAUAAAUAUUUGGCAUACUAUUUGACUCUUUAUAAAACAUGCGGAUCGUUUAUGAUGGCAUUAUUUUUCUUGAUUGACCUCAUUGUAACGUGGUGCUCAGCUGCCGACGACGAGAUACUCAUACGAAAUGGCGUCUUUUUCCUGAUAGUCGCCCGUCAGGAACAAUGGAAGGUGAAAGACGUGAGGCUGCAGGAAGACAAGAUGCCCAUAACGGCACCGUCGACCAAGAUCGAACCGGAUUCACAUUACUACAGGCCGAGGUUCAUGAGGCCCUGGGGCAAGGCGUACUUCAGAGUUUGUGACGACGAAGUCGCAGAAAAGAAGCUUGAAGAUUUGCUUAGAAUGGAAAGGAAGAGAAGGGGGAAAGAAGCUUUGACUCCGCAGGAACGCCUGUUGAGGGCGAUAGAAAUGAAAAGGGAAAUAGCAAACGCCCUCCGGGAGCAACGAAUCGAAAGAGCCGGUCGUACCAUCAGUCAGAAUCUAUCCUACCGAUAAAACAUUUUUAACUUUUAUAUUCAAUUUCUUUAAUAAUACUUUUGAAUCUAAUUUUAUGCAUUCACCAUAUGGUCGGUAUAAAUAAUUUUUCAUAUAUCUGUGCAUAAACCUUUAAAAUGACUAUCCUGUCUUCGACUAAGUUUCAAGGUUGGAACAAAUUCGCAGAAAUGUUCCUCAGCGUACUCUUAGCAAUAAUGGAGUCCAAGACGUUAUUAAUCGGUCUUGUUUUCACGGAAGUGAAUCCUUAUUUUGCCUUCUUGAGAACAGCCUCGUAUUCGACCAUGAUCGUCCCGUCCAUCAUGAGGUUGCAGGCUGCCAGCUUUUCAGAGCCAAUCGUACUCGAUCACCAUGUGCAUAUGUUCAUCACGAGCGUCGGGGCGAUUUUAUACACAAUAGCCAGCAUUUUUGGACUGCUUCAUUGGUUCAAGUUCCCCGGUGUUCACAAGUAUUACAGAUGGGAGGAAAUUGCGAUAGUUUUGACUCAGCACAUAUUGGCUCUUGUUCUUGCUUUAAUGUUUAUAUGUGACACUUUUAUCGUCUGUUUCAAACACGAAGAUAAAAUAUACGUUUAAUUUCCCA
rnacentral:misc_RNA from 1 species